rnacentral:misc_RNA from 1 species
UCCGGUUUGUCACCGGCGGUCUCCUUAGAGUUCCCACCAUUACGUGCUGGCAACUAAGGACAAGGGUUGCGCUCGUUGCGGGACUUAACCCAACAUCUCACGACACGAGCUGACGACAGCCAUGCAGCACCUGUGUUCGAGUUCCCGAAGGCACUCCCGCAUCUCUGCGGGAUUCCGAGGAUGUCAAAGGCAGGUAAGGUGGGGAUGACGUAUAGGAGCUCGAC